UCUAUGACUGGAUGUGACACAUUCUAGUACAACGAAUCUGGACAAAUGUAUAUUCAGAUUCGUAGUAAUAGAAUGUGUCAUAUCCAGUAC
rnacentral:misc_RNA from 1 species